rnacentral:lncRNA from 1 species
UUGAAUCCAAUACUCAGAACUUAUGAGCACUCAUGGGUGUUGUAGCCAUUUGUCCAACACCUUAGACCUCUACAAGCUAACCCAUGAUAGUCUUAAUUCAUAUCUACUUUCAACAUAUGAUCGACUGUGGAUGGUUCGAAUAACUUAGUCAUUCCGGAAGAAUAACCUAGUUUAUUCUGGAAGUCAAAACAUGCAAAAUGAAACACAAUAAUAAUCGAAUCCAAUAUGGUCUCAGAACUUAUGAAUAUAAAUAAAACACCUUUUAUUUAUCACCAUAUGAUUACACAAUAUCCAUUGUAUACUGUUUCAGCUAUCAACAUUAUUCUUGAAUUUAAAAGAAUAGUUGUCCCAUGCUCCAAGCAUGUACACUAUGUUUUCUAAACACUAGUCAUGCCAUACACCAACUAUGCAUACUAUGUUUGUCUAUGAUCUUUACUUUCUGAAAUAGAUUAACUGAACAUAACUCCAAUGAUCCGUUUUCACAAUCCCAAAUCCUUACUGCAAAUGCAUGAAUUCCAAACUCAUGCUAUUUACUGAAAUCUGGUAGAUUCUAAACUUAUAUGCAUUGAUCUUCUUGUAAUGAUUAUGCACAACUUCACAAAGACUUGGCACCAAUCAUUACAGAGUAUUCCAAAGGGGAUCAGCUCCUUGGAAACAAUGCGCUUUCGUGCAAUCAAUGUACUACCAACUCAUAGUAAGAACUCAUAUCUCUAGGUUUGAAGAAUAUAAGAUAUUAUCGUCUCAUGAUCACUCGUGAUAAAAUCCAUGAAGUGAUUCCAAUGAGCGCGGGUUGAAUCCAAUACUCAAAACUUAUGAGCACUCAUGAGUGUUGUAGCCCUUUGUCCAACACCUUAGACCUCUACAAGCCAACCCAUGACAGUCUUAAUUCAUAUCUACUUCCAACAUAUGACCGACUGUGGAUGGUUUGAAUAACUUAGUCAUUCCGGAAGAAUAACCUAGUUUAUUCGGGAAGUCAAAACAUGCAAAAUGAAACACAAUAAUAAUCGAAUCCAAUAUGGUAUCAAAACCUAUGAACAUAAAUAAAACACCUUUUAUUUAUCACCAUAUGAUUACACAUUAUUCAUUGUAUACUGUUUCAGCUAUCAACUUUAUUCUUGAAUUUAAAACAAUAGUUGUCCCAUGCUCCAAGCAUGUACACUAUGUUUUCUAAACACUAGUCAUGCCAUACACCAAGUAUGCAUACUAUGUUUGUCUAUGAUCUUUACUUUGUGAACUAGAUCAAUUGAACAUAACUUCAAUGAUUCUCUUUUCACACUCCCAAAUCCUUACUGCAAAUGCAAGAAUUCC